AUUUAUAUAGCUUAUACAGAGCGCUAUACUGAAGAUAUAAACGAGACUAUGUCUAUAAAUA
rnacentral:tRNA from 1 species